AGCUCCAAUAGCGUAUAUUAAAGUUGUUGCAGUUAAAAAGCUCGUAGUUGAAUAUCUGGUUUAAUGCGACUGGCCCGCCUCAGUGUGAGUGCCGGUGUGCGUUUACCAUCCUUCUAGAAAACUUUUCACUCUUCAUUGAGUUGACUUGUGAUCUAGAUCUUUUACUUUGAAAAAAUUAGAGUGUUUAAAGCAGGCUAUUGCUAUGAAUACAUUAGCAUGGAAUAAUGGAACAGGACUACGGUCACUGCACUUUUUCCGUUGGUUUCGGAGGACCGAAGUAAUGAUUAAGAGGGACAGUUGGGGGCAUCCGUAUUUCGUAGUCAGAGGUGAAAUUCUUGGAUCUGCGAAAGACGAACGAGUGCGAAAGCAUUUGCCAAGAGUGUUUUCAUUAAUCAAGAAC
rnacentral:rRNA from 1 species